rnacentral:rRNA from 1 species
GACAGAGGAUGCAAACGUUGCUCGGAUUUACUGGGCGUAAAGCGCGCGCAGGCGGUCCCGUAAGUCGGACGUGAAAGCCCAGGGCUCAACUCUGGAAGUGCGUCUGACACUGCGAGACUGGAGUACUGGAGAGGAGAGCGGAAUUCCCGGUGUAGAGGUGAAAUUCGUAGAUAUCGGGAGGAACACCAGUGGCGAAGGCGGCUCUCUGGACAGAUACUGACGCUGAGGCGCGAAAGCGUGGGAAGCAAACAGG